rnacentral:piRNA from 1 species
CGAACUGGACCUACUUGCUUGACCAGAGCCC